rnacentral:rRNA from 1 species
AUGGUGGCUCUCAACAGUGGUUUGAUGUAUUGUGCAGGUUUGUGUUGGCGCCACUGGUUGUAUUUGUCUUCUUUGCCCACAAGUACUGGAAAAACAAGGAUCACCAUUGACAUUGUCGAGAAGUUCCUUUGGAUGCAGCAGACUAUUGACCCGAUGAGGUAUGCCUGCACAAAUAUCGCUGCAACCACAAACCGGUUUUCAGACAAGCUGGGACAUGGAGGUUUCAGCGCCGUGUUUAAGGGCGUGCUGCUUGAUGAUGUUCAUGCAGCCGUCAAGAUGUUGAACUCUGGCUCCAGCUGCAACGGAGAUGACUUCAUCAGUGAGAUUCUCCACUUUGACAUCAAGUCGCACAACAUCAUGCUCGACAAUAAUUUCAUCCCCAAAGUUGUUGAUUUCGGCCUUGCUAAACUGUACCCAAGGGACAACAACUUUGUGCCCUCCAACGCCUUAUGGGGAACGGUUGGGUACAUAGCUCCUGAGAUGAUAUCUUGGGGCUUCGAUGUUGUCGACCAAGUCUGA